GUGGCGGCGGGUCACUCGGGGAAAAGAGGCCAUUUCACAGGUCUUUGCGUCUCGAUUCACCUUCCCUGGA